rnacentral:rRNA from 1 species
UACGUAGGGGCCUAGCGUUGUCCGGAUUCAUUGGGCGUAAAGGGUGCGUAGGCGGCGCGGUAAGUCGGGUGUGAAAUCUCGGAGCUUAACUCCGAAACUGCAUUCGAUACUGCCGUGCUUGAGGACUGGAGAGGAGACUGGAAUUUACGGUGUAGCGGUGAAAUGCGUAGAUAUCGUAAGGAAGACCAGUGGCGAAGGCGGGUCUCUGGACAGUUCCUGACGCUGAGGCACGAAGGCCAGGGGAGCAAACGGG